rnacentral:rRNA from 1 species
UACGUAGGGUGCAAGCGUUAAUCGGAAUUACUGGGCGUAAAGCGUGCGCAGGCGGUUUUGUAAGUCUGUUGUGAAUCCCGGCUCAACCUGGGAAUGGCAAUGGAGACUGCAAGGCUAGAGUUUGGCAGAGGGGGUAGAAUUCCACGUGUAGCAGUGAAUGCGUAGAUAUGUGGAGGAACACCGAUGGCGAAGGCAGCCCCUGGUCAAACUGACGCUCAUGCACGAAGCGUGGAGCAACAGG